UACAGAGGGGGCAAGCGUUGUUCGGAAUUACUGGGCGUAAAGGGCGCGUAGGCGGCCUGCUAAGUCGAACGUGAAAUCCCUGGGCUCAACCCAGGAACUGCGUCCGAUACUGGUUGGCUUGAAUCCGGGAGAGGGAUGUGGAAUUCCAGGUGUAGCGGUGAAAUGCGUAGAUAUCUAGAGGAACACCGGUGGCGAAGGCGACAUCCUGGACCGGUAUUGACGCUGAGGCGCGAAAGCCAGGGGAGCAAACGGG
rnacentral:rRNA from 1 species